rnacentral:rRNA from 1 species
GAUGAACGCUGGCGGCGUGCUUAACACAUGCAAGUCGAACGAAGCACUUUAUUUGAUUUCCUUCGGGACUGAUUAUUUUGUGACUGAGUGGCGGACGGGUGAGUAACGCGUGGGUAACCUGCCUUGUACAGGGGGAUAACAGUUGGAAACGGCUGCUAAUACCGAAUAAGCGCACGGCAUCGCAUGAUGCAGUGUGAAAAACUCCGGUGGUAUAAGAUGGACCCGCGUUGGAUUAGCUAGUUGGUGAGGUAACGGCCCACCAAGGCGACGAUCCAUAGCCGACCUGAGAGGGUGACCGGCCACAUUGGGACUGAGACACGGCCCAAACUCCUACGGGAGGCAGCAGUGGGGAAUAUUGCACAAUGGGCGAAAGCCUGAUGCAGCGACGCCGCGUGAGCGAAGAAGUAUUUCGGUAUGUAAAGCUCUAUCAGCAGGGAAGAUAAUGACGGUACCUGACUAAGAAGCACCGGCUAAAUACGUG